AACCAGAUUUUAAAAUGCCCUAAAAUCUUGUUGAACAGAUAUUUCUAUAAACAUUACAUGUAAACAGCCAAGUUGUGAAAAAUUACCCACCAUCCCCAAUCACCAGGGAAAGGCAGACCAAAACUACAGUUAUCUAUCCUGUCAGUCCACAAAAAUGGGCUCUUUCCAAAAAAGACCAAUGACAGCAAGUGUUGGUGAGGAUGUGGAAAAUCAGAAAUAUCUGUAUGAUAUUGAUGAGAAUGUGAAGUAGAGCAGCUAUCCUUAAAAGCUAUAUAGAAAUGCUUCAGAAAUUACAAUUAUCCAGUCAUCCAGAAAUGUCACCUCUGCGUUUCUUAUAGACGAUGGUUGAAACAAGGUCUUGAAAAGUUAUUAGCAUGCUGAUGUCUGCGGCAAUACUACUGAUGGUAUCUUAAAUGGGGAGAUAACCCGAUAGAUGAAUGGGUGAAAUUAUGCGCAUACAGUGGGGUACUAUUUAGCUUUUAGUAACUUCCUAAGGUGUAGGGAAGAUCCUCCUGUAACACGGAGUGUUCUGGGAUAAAUCCCUUGUCAUAGCUUUAUGAGUCAAUGCCCCUGGUGGUUCUUUGUGCUUCAGUCCCUCUGGUCACAUGCUCACUGUCUUUGGAGUCUCUGCUCACACUGGGUGUUCCUGGAAACAUUUUUUUCUCUAUGUUCCACACACCUAAGGUUUCAGUUGUAACCUAGAUUUCCAAGAGAACCUUUAAAAUAAAAAAGGUGCCAUCACAGCAUAUACAUAAUUGAGUGUAUGUUUUAUAAGAAAUUAUCAGAAAGCAUAAGCAUCUUCCUCACUUACAGCCAUGAUAUAUUCCUAACCUCACGCUUGGACCAUUUAUAGUUAACGAAGAAAAGAGGUACCUUGCUUAUUUUAUUAUCUUUAGCUUUAGGGUGACUAUAUUGGCUAUAGGAUGGAAUACAUGCUGUUUUUAAAGUUUUACAAUUUUUAUAUAAGAUUCAAAGAUUACAUAACCUAUGGUAUCUAAGAGAACACAGUUUCUAAUCUUUUAACUUAUUGUACUAAUAGACUAGGUAUAGAAUAAGGGACUAGGGGUAGAAUUUGAUCACCCUAGGAAGAAAAAGUAGAAUAGAUACAUAUGGAUGGAUGGGGUGGGGCAGGAACGAGGGGAUCAAACAUGGAAUGGGAGGGAAUAGGGGAAAGAUGGAGGGGCAGCUAAAGCCAGUAGUCAAUAAAGAUGGAGGGGUUGC
rnacentral:lncRNA from 1 species